GACGAACGCUGGCGGCGUGCUUAACACAUGCCAGUCGAACGGAAAGGCCCUGCUUUUGUGGGGUGCUCGAGUGGCGAACGGGUGAGUAACACGUGAGUAACCUGCCCUUGACUUUGGGAUAACUUCAGGAAACUGGGGCUAAUACCGGAUAGGAGCUCCUGCUGCAUGGUGGGGGUUGGAAAGUUUCGGCGGUUGGGGAUGGACUCGCGGCUUAUCAGCUUGUUGGUGGGGUAGUGGCUUACCAAGGCUUUGACGGGUAGCCGGCCUGAGAGGGUGACCGGCCACAUUGGGACUGGGAUACGGCCCAGACUCCUACGGGAGGCAGCAGUGGGGAAUAUGGCACAAUGGGCGGAAGCCUGAUGCAGCAACGCCGCGUGCGGGAUGACGGCCUUCGGGUGGUAAACCGCUUUCGCCUGUGACGAAGCGUGAGUGACGGUAAUGGGUAAAGAAGCACCGGCUAACUACGUG
rnacentral:rRNA from 1 species